UUACCGGAAACCGACACAGGUGGGCGGGGUGGGAAUCCCAAGGCGCUUGAGAGAACCCUGCUUAAGGAACUCGCAAAAUGACACCGUAACUUCGGGAGAAGGUGUGCCCUCUGUACGUGAAGCCCCUUGCGGGUGGAGCGGAAGAGGGUUGCAGAGAAACGGGGGUAGCGACUGUUUACCAAAAACCCAGCACUGUGCGAAGUCGGAAGACGACGUAUACGGUGUGAUGCCUGCCCGGUGCCGGAAGGUUAAGGGGAGUUGUCAGCCGCAAGGCAAAGCAGCGAACCGAAGCCCCGGUAAACGGCGACCGUAACAAUAACGGUCCUAAGGUAGCGAAAUUCCUUGUCGGGUAAGUUCCGACCUGCACGAAUGGCAUAACGACUUCCCCACUGUCUCGAGCAGGGACUCUGCGAAGUAGCACUAGGGGUGAAGAUACCCUUUACCCGCGGCAGGACGGAAAGACCCCGUGAACCUUUACUGUAACUUGGCACUGAACUUCGGGUUCGUUUGCGUAGGAUAGGUGGGACGCUAGGAAGCAUGGACUCCGGUCUGUGUGGAGCGGCCGUUGAAAUACCACCCUGACGAAUCUGGAGUUCUAACCUGCACCCGUGAGCCGGGUGGGGGACAAUGCCUGGUGGGCAGUUUGACUGGGGCGGUCGCCUCCCAAAGAGUAACGGAGGCGCGCGAAGGUUCCCUCAGGCUGAUUGGAAACCAGCCGACGAGUGUAAUGGCAUAAGGGAGCUUGACUGCGAGACUGACAAGUCGAGCAGGUGCGAAAGCAGGUCAUAGUGAUCCGGUGGUUCUGAAUGGAAGGGCCAUCGCUCAACGGAUAAAGGGUACUCCGGGGAUAACAGGCUUAUCACGCCCAAGAGUUCACAUCGACGGCGUGGUUUGGCACCUCGAUGUCGGCUCAUCGCAUCCUGGGGCUGAAGUUGGUCCCAAGGGUUUGGCUGUUCGCCAAUUAAAGCGGUACGCGAGCUGGGUUCAAAACGUCGUGAGACAGUUUGGUCCCUAUCCGCCGUGGGCGCAGGACGCUUGAGAGGAUCUGUCCUUAGUACGAGAGGACCGGGAUGGACGGACCGCUAGUGUUCCGGUUGUGGCGCCAGCUGCAAUGCCGGGUAGCUAUGUUCGGAAGGGAUAACCGCUGAAAGCAUCUAAGCGGGAAGCCCACCUCGAGAUAAGGCGUCCCUGAGACUUCGGUCUCCUGAAGACCCCAUGUAGACCACGUGGUUGAUAGGCUGGGUGUGGAAGCGCUGCAAGGCGCGGAGCUAACCAGUACUAAUCGGUCGUGAGGCUUGACCAC
rnacentral:rRNA from 1 species